rnacentral:rRNA from 1 species
GACGAACGCUGGCGGCGUGCUUAACACAUGCAAGUCGAACGGAAAGGCCCUGCUUUUGUGGGGUGCUCGAGUGGCGAACGGGUGAGUAACACGUGAGUAACCUGCCCUUGACUUUGGGAUAACUUCAGGAAACUGGGGCUAAUACCGGAUAGGAGCUCCUGCUGCAUGGUGGGGGUUGGAAAGUUUCGGCGGUUGGGGAUGGACUCGCGGCUUAUCAGCUUGUUGGUGGGGUAGUGGCUUACCAAGGCUUUGACGGGUAGCCGGCCUGAGAGGGUGACCGGCCACAUUGGGACUGAGAUACGGCCCAGACUCCUACGGGAGGCAGCAGUGGGGAAUAUUGCACAAUGGGCGGAAGCCUGAUGCAGCAACGCCGCGUGCGGGAUGACGGCCUUCGGGUUGUAAACCGCUUUCGCCUGUGACGAAGCGUGAGUGACGGUAAUGGGUAAAGAAGCACCGGCUAACUACGUGCCAGCAGCCGCGGUGAUACGUAGGGUGCGAGCGUUGUCCGGAUUUACUGGGCGUAAAGGGCUCGUAGGUGGUUGAUCGCGUCGGAAGUGUAAUCUUGGGGCUUAACCCUGAGCGUGCUUUCGAUACGGGUUGACUUGAGGAAGGUAGGGGAGAAUGGAAUUCCUGGUGGAGCGGUGGAAUGCGCAGAUAUCAGGAGGAACACCAGUGGCGAAGGCGGUUCUCUGGGCCUUUCCUGACGCUGAGGAGCGAAAGCGUGGGGAGCGAACAGGCUUAGAUACCCUGGUAGUCCACGCUGUAAACGGUGGGUACUAGGUGUGGGGUCCAUUCCACGGGUUCCGUGCCGUAGCUAACGCUUUAAGUACCCCGCCUGGGGAGUACGGCCGCAAGGCUAAAACUCAAAGGAAUUGACGGGGCCCCGCACAAGCGGCGGAGCAUGCGGAUUAAUUCGAUGCAACGCGUAGAACCUUACCUGGGUUUGACAUGGAUCGGGAGUGCUCAGAGAUGGGUGUGCCUCUUUUGGGGUCGGUUCACAGGUGGUGCAUGGCUGUCGUCAGCUCGUGUCGUGAGAUGUUGGGUUAAGUCCCGCAACGAGCGCAACCCUUGUUCACUGUUGCCAGCACGUUAUGGUGGGGACUCAGUGGAGACCGCCGGGGUCAACUCGGAGGAAGGUGGGGAUGACGUCAAGUCAUCAUGCCCCUUAUGUCCAGGGCUUCACGCAUGCUACAAUGGCUGGUACAGAGAGUGGCGAGCCUGUGAGGGUGAGCGAAUCUCGGAAAGCCGGUCUCAGUUCGGAUUGGGGUCUGCAACUCGACCUCAUGAAGUCGGAGUCGCUAGUAAUCGCAGAUCAGCAACGCUGAGGUGAAUACGUUCCCGGGGCU